GCCAUGCCGCGUGCAGGAUGAAGGCCUUCGGGUUGUAAACUGCUUUUGUACGGAACGAAAAGGUCUUUUCUAAUAAAGAAGGCUCAUGACGGUACCAUAAGAAUAAGCACCGGCUAACUACGUG
rnacentral:rRNA from 1 species